rnacentral:rRNA from 1 species
AGCGAACGCUGGCGGCAGGCUUAACACAUGCAAGUCGAACGGGUGUAGCAAUACAUCAGCGGCAGACGGGUGAGUAACGCGUGGGAACGUACCUUUUGGUUCGGAACAACCCAGGGAAACUUGGGCUAAUACCGGAUAAGCCCUUACGGGGAAAGAUUUAUCGCCGAAAGAUCGGCCCGCGUCUGAUUAGCUAGUUGGUGAGGUAAUGGUUCACCAAGGCGACGAUCAGUAGCUGGUCUGAGAGGAUGAUCAGCCACAUUGGGACUGAGACACGGCCCAAACUCCUACGGGAGGCAGCAGUGGGGAAUAUUGGACAAUGGGGGCAACCCUGAUCCAGCCAUGCCGCGUGAGUGAUGAAGGCCCUAGGGUUGUAAAGCUCUUUUGUGCGGGAAGAUAAUGACGGUACCGCAAGAAUAAGCCCCGGCUAACUUCGUGCCAGCCGCCGCCGUAAGAC